GACGAACGCUGGCGGCGUGCUUAACACAUGCAAGUCGAACGGAAAGGCCCUGCUUUUGUGGGGUGCUCGAGUGGCGAACGGGUGAGUAACACGUGAGUAACCUGCCCUUGACUUUGGGAUAACUUCAGGAAACUGGGGCUAAUACCGGAUAGGAGCUCCUGCUGCAUGGUGGGGGUUGGAAAGUUUCGGCGGUUGGGGAUGGACUCGCGGCUUAUCAGCUUGUUGGUGGGGUAGUGGCUUACCAAGGCUUUGACGGGUAGCCGGCCUGAGAGGGUGACCGGCCACAUUGGGACUGAGAUACGGCCCAGACUCCUACGGGAGGCAGCAGUGGGGAAUAUUGCACAAUGGGCGGAAGCCUGAUGCAGCGACGCCGCGUGCGGGAUGACGGCCUUCGGGUUGUAAACCGCUUUCGCCUGUGACGAAGCGUGAGUGACGGUAAUGGGUAAAGAAGCACCGGCUAACUACGUGCCAGCAGCCGCGGUGAUACGUAGGGUGCGAGCGUUGUCCGGAUUUAUUGGGCGUAAAGGGCUCGUAGGUGGUUGAUCGCGUCGGAAGUGUAAUCUUGGGGCUUAACCCUGAGCGUGCUUUCGAUACGGGUUGACUUGAGGAAGGUAGGGGAGAAUGGAAUUCCUGGUGGAGCGGUGGAGUGCGCAGAUAUCAGGAGGAACACCAGUGGCGAAGGCGGUUCUCUGGGCCUUUCCUGACGCUGAGGAGCGAAAGCGUGGGGAGCGAACAGGCUUAGAUACCCUGGUAGUCCACGCUGUAAACGGUGGGUACUAGGUGUGGGGUCCAUUCCACGGGUUCCGUGCCGUAGCUAACGCUUUAAGUACCCCGCCUGGGGAGUACGGCCGCAAGGCUAAAACUCAAAGGAAUUGACGGGGCCCCGCACAAGCGGCGGAGCAUGCGGAUUAAUUCGAUGCAACGCGUAGAACCUUACCUGGGUUUGACAUGGAUCGGGAGUGCUCAGAGAUGGGUGUGCCUCUUUUGGGGUCGGUUCACAGGUGGUGCAUGGCUGUCGUCAGCUCGUGUCGUGAGAUGUUGGGUUAAGUCCCGCAACGAGCGCAACCCUUGUUCACUGUUGCCAGCACGUUAUGGUGGGGACUCAGUGGAGACCGCCGGGGUCAACUCGGAGGAAGGUGGGGAUGACGUCAAGUCAUCAUGCCCCUUAUGUCCAGGGCUUCACGCAUGCUACAAUGGCUGGUACAGAGAGUGGCGAGCCUGUGAGGGUGAGCGAAUCUCGGAAAGCCGGUCUCAGUUCGGAUUGGGGUCUGCAACUCGACCUCAUGAAGUCGGAGUCGCUAGUAAUCGCAGAUCAGCAACGCUGCGGUGAAUACGUUCCCGGGGCU
rnacentral:rRNA from 1 species